GCUAAUGAGUAUAUCCAUGGUGCCAACUUGCAGGAGGUUCUUUACAAAGGCACUCCCAUCAAGUUGCAGGACGAGGAUAAGCUGUUUGUGGCUUUAGAUAUUGCCAUGGCUGUUGAGUACAUACAUGGAAAACCAAUCAUCCACCAAGAUCUGAAGCCAGCCAAUAUAAUGAUUGCAGCAGACAACAAAAAGGCCUACUUGACUGAUUGGGGCAUGGCGAACCUGAAGG